CUUGGCCUCCAUACCCCAAAUCCAGAACUUCCACCAGGGCUCUCAGCCUGAGAUGUCUGUGAGGGGGACAGCCUCAUUCAUCUUUGCUCUGUAGCCUCCUAGGAGUUCUUCAGCCACCUGGUACAAGGAUUUUUUGGAGGCUUGAGCAGCUGUGGACCUAGAGAGAGGAAGGCACCUCUGAGACUUCCCUGUUUUAUGAAAACAAAUUAUUUUCAUGUGGUGUGGGAGAAAGUUGCUUUCUUCUGUCAUGAAGCCCUUCGGAGGAACAAAUAUGACCCAGUGGGUUUAUUUUUUGAUCAAUAGGAAGGAUAGCCACAUUAAGAGGAGCUUCUGCACAGCCCUGGAGUUUGAGAUGCUGGAUUUCAAAGAGCUUGCUGCCUGACAGUGGGUGGACAUAAAACCGCUUCACCUCUAAAACAGACUUGAUGAGCUGAGCUGCCAUUGAUGAGGCAUUAAAACCCAGAGCACAUCCACCAGCAUGGGAAAAUGAAUGAAAUGAUGACUGCUCUGAGACAUGGGCUCUGUGAGGGACGCAUUGGCUGUUCUUAAUGUUCUCCCAGGACUCUGUUACAAAGCAACAGCCCCACCUUGGACACAGACUGCUCUGCAUGACUCAAACAAAAUUUCCUCUGCAGGUGGACAGCCUUCUCCUAACAAUGGAUUGGCUGUGCUGUUUCACAGCAAAAACACCAUAAACCAAAGAAUUAAUGUACCUGUCAUAGUCUGGUGGCUGGAACCCCUUGGCGAAGAGGCCCCAGUAAACUGAGAGAAAUGCUGCGUUUAUGUUCAGCGUGGGCCCAAGCUGUGCACUAGUCCAUUCACUGCUCACACUGACUGCCAUUGGAUAGUGUUAUUACAGACCCACUUACUAACUGAAAAUAUUAUAUACUUUUUACUUGGUUUUUUCAAUGGGCUCUUGUUUACUUCUGCUGCUGGGUAUGCAGAGCAAUCGCUGCUGCUUCUAAUUCUCCUUACUUUUAGUCCCCCUUUCUGCUAAGCUGAGUGUAAACCACAAUCUCUCAGAACCUUGCAGUGUAUACUGAGAGGACUUGAGAGCUUGACCUCUCAUGUUACAGAUGAGCACACAGAGGUCCAGAGGCCUGAGCACGUGGCUAGUUGUCCCAGGGACCAAGACCAGAAACCUAGGUGACCUUGGUCUUUGGACCUUUUUACUUAUCCAUUCAACUUCUGGCAAACAUUUAAAUAAGCCAUUUCUUCAAGGACCUGGGAUAGAAAGACUGAGGUACCCAGUAUCAUUGCUGCUGUAAUAGCAAGAAGCCCUGAGAAGGAUCUUCAGAGGCAGAGAGGCCUUUGGAUGCUUUGAAAGAGAGAUUCUCCCCACAGUCCCUGUCUGUCUUCCACGAAACCCAGCUAAAACCAAGCCAGCACAAAUCUCAGAUUCAUUAAAUAAAUUCACCAGAAAACCAAGUCAAAACGACAGAGACCAAGAGAACAGGCACAAGUGCCUUUUUAUUCCUCCUCUGAGCCAAGCUGAAGAGCAGCCCCAGGUGACAGAGUGUGAUACUCAAGGCCAGCCCUCGUCCCCUACUUCAGCACAGCCUGGAUGAAUCACACACCAGAGAACAACAGCGCUAUUUCUUUCAGUCAUCUGUCAAGCUGACAACCCUGCCCAGAGUUAUUUAGGGCUUUCUAAAGACACUUCUUCCCUGACUGCCACAGGAAGCACCUGCAAAACUGCUGAGCUGCGGUUUUGCUCAAUAGCACUUUGAUAGUCCCUGAGGGCAUCAAUUACUCUUCUUUCCUUCCCUGCAUGGACUUUGGUUUUGAUGAUGAAGAAGAAGGAGAUGGUGAAGAUCCCUGGGAUCUGAAGCCAGACGCUUUGUGGAGGUGGGUUUCUCACUGAUUGCUGUGGGGGAUCCUCUGGACAAGGACAGCCCAAGAGUGUAAGGAGAAUAUUCCCAUGAGAGUAGGUCUCCCUCCUGGAGCAGAACUGUACUCUUUGCCAACUCCUCAGAGGAAAAACAGGCCUGUCAGACAAGUGUGUCUGGAGCAAAUCUGGUCUUCUGAUUCAGGUGGAUGACAUAAAAGAGGGGUAACUUGGAAAAGGAUCAGAAGAAAAACACAAAAGUAAUGAGAAGAUCUGGAUGAAUGGACCUCUGAAAGCAGUUAGGGGAAUUAGAGUUGUUGAGUCUAGGGAAGGCAAGGGUGAACUACCAAUCAGCUUUGAGUAUGGAGAGAAUAAUUGUGCAGGGAUUAGUGGUCAUUUCCACUGAAAAUAUCAUGUGAGUUAGAGAUGCUUAAAUUGCUGCCUGAGGAGUCUGCUCAGUGUGUGCUGGUCUGUCUGGGUUAUUGCAAAUUCUUACUCUCAAAGUGGUCAGUCUGCUUCCUUGGAUAUUUGCAUGAAUGAAAAUGACAUCCUUCCAGCUGGAAUGGGUUAGAGAAAGUCACAUGGAUCUCUUCCCUUUGACUCAAACUGCCCAACACCCCAGCUUCACUCUUAUCUGAAGCCUUUUAACUGGUAUUUGGAUAUCCAUCUCUGCCUCCAUGGACCCACUUUGCAUAUUGAGGUCUUGUUUAUCUUUCUUAAAUCAUCUUGGGUUAGCCACUGUCCUGCCCUAAAAACACUGAUGCAUUUGUUAGCUUGCCAUUACUAUAACAGAUCCCUGAGACAAUUAACUUAUAAAGGGACCAGUGACCUAAAGACCACCCACCAGUCCCCAUCUCUUAUGUUUUACUAUCUCCCAAUAGUGCCACCCUGGGGACCAAGCCUUUAACACAUGGGACUUUGGGGACACUCAAGAUCCAAACUAUAGCAAUGCCUAUUCAUUCAUUCAGUCAACAAAAUUUGAGCACCUGUUAUAUUGAGCAUAUAUUGUAUAUCUGCCACUAUACCUCGCCCUGUGCAUACAAAAGGGCACAAAAUACAGCAGGGUUGCAAGUUCACUCAGUCUUUAUGUCCUUGUCCUGGAAUCUUUCGAGGCUCCAUCAUCUUGAUUUAGUGUCUCUUGCGGCACAAAACCUUUUCUUUUACAAGCAGAGUCCAUUCACGGUGACAAAGGAUUUCUUGGCCUUUCUUCUUGCCAUGACUUCUGCAUAGAAUACCUUCAUCCAGAGCCUAUCUCUUCUUUGCAACCAGCACAAGUCCUCUCCCCUUUAGGAGGAGUUGGACCACUUGGGGGUUAGGAUCUACCAGGACCUCAGUCCCCACAGCACUCCCUUACUUAGCACUGAAUAUUUUCUGUCUGAGAGAACAUAUGGGGUAGCUUCUGUCCCUGCCUGGAAACUUGGUGUGGACAAGCCCUGAGAGGGUGUGGUCUCUGAACCUUCUCUCUCUAUCCAAAGCUCUGCUGUGAAUGGUGAGACGGCAGCUCAGGUUUUGGCUGGUGCUUCCCGAACAUUUGCUGCCAUUGAGAAAUGGGAGAGGAUAUUUAAUCCCUGAAUUUAUCGGGAGAAAAAAUUGGGAGAUUUUGUUUUUUGCAAGAUGUGGAAACUGAGGACCAAAACAAGUGACUUAUCCAAAGCCACUCACAAGGUGAGAUUGUAGCAGAGUCAAGUCUAUACACUAUCUGGUUUGUCUCUGCUCUGCAUAGUCCAGCAACUGGAAUACUUAAGAACCAAACACUGCAGGACACAUAUGGAAGAAAUAAGAAGUAUAUUAGUUUCCUGUUGUGGCUAAAACAAAUAACCACAUAUUUACUGGCUUAAACAACACAAAAUUAUUGUCUUUAUAGUCUGUAGGUCAUAAGUCCUUGACCUGAGUCUCACCAGGCUAAAAUCAGAGUGCCAACAGGUCUGCAUACCUUUCUGGAAGUCCAGAGGAAAAUCUGUUUUCCUGCCUUUACUGACUUCUAGAAACUACCAGCAUUCUUCAGCUUAUGACCCUCUUUGUCCAUCUUCAAAGCCAGAAAGUUAGCCUGAGUCCUUCUUGCAUGGUAUCGUUCUGGCUAAUUUCCUCUUCUGCUUCCUUCUUCUAUUUAAGGACCUUGUGAUUACACUGGGGUCACCUGAGUACCCCAGGGUGAUCUCCCUAUUCAAGUCACCUUAAUAGCAAUCUUAAUUUCCCUCUGCAGUGUAACAUAUUUGCAGGCUCCAGGGAUUAGGAUGUAAAUGCUCGGGGGGUGGGGGUGGGGGGUUGGUUGGUGGCUGUUUCUUCCUACCACAAUAGAAAAAAUGAGAAAUAGUUCCCCCCUUUCCUCCCGCCUCUGUGUCUCUCCUCUCUCUCUCUCCUCUCUCCUCUAAUUCUCCAUAAUCUGAUAAAAUUAAUCUGAAAAUGUUCUGGGCCUCUGUAUUCAACUUCACACUUCUCUUAUGAGCCAUGGUCUGAUGAAUUUGGUCAAGACACAAAGGAAAGGAAUUAAAAUGCAAAAAUGCACAAAGAAGGAGGCUCACAAAUGUUGGCUAAAAUAGGAUGAGGACCAAGAGGUGAGUCCGCUAAUCUCUAAGGAUUUGAGAACUGCUGGGCUUUAAGGAUGUGGUCCAAGUUUGCAUAGGAGAAGUUGCUAUGAAAUGUUUAGAUGGAAUCUCCAACUGGAAGGCCUGUUGGUCACUAAAACCAGUUAAUAAUAGGGGGUGAGAAGGGUUCUGGACAAUUCAAGAAAAGAAUCAACACUUCCAUGUUGGGAAGAUCUCACAGAAUCUACAGGACCUUAGGAGUUUUCUAGUCCACCCUCACACCUAAUGUAAAAUCUACCCUCAUCAUUUUUUUUUUUUUUUUAAAGCUCUGGCAAGGGGUAGGAAAUCACUUAGAUUCUCUUAGAUAGUCUCAAAUUCUUCAAAUUUAUGAUUGUGAAUUGCAAAUGUUAUCUCUAGUUAACUCUUGGUAUUGGUUGGAAAAUCAAGAUAACUAUCAUUUUUUAAUCUUUUCUCCACCAAGAUGGUGGGAUGUUGGCUAUUAUUCUAUCUUUAUGGGGGAAGAUCUGAUCCCUAGUCCACACAUAGCAUUUAAUCCUCAUUUAUAGGAGGACGAUAAAGACAUGGAGAAAGACCUGAAAAAGGAAUUAUCUGCCAGUAGUUUCAGUGGCUGCUCAUGAGCUUUACUUUUCUCUGAUGUUUUGUGGUGGCUGUUUUUUAUCUGUCUGGCACCCAUCCCCCACUCCUCCCAGCAACAGAGCCUGUUUGUUCCUCAGGCUAGAAAAGGGGGCACCUGACUCAGCAGAAUCAACUGCUCGGCUCACAAGCUUAGCCACAGUUAAUGGGCCAAUCAGCACCAUUCCUCAGGGAUUCUCUAAUCCAGGGGACAUGGAUGGUGGUGACUUACUUUCUGACUCUUCUCAGGUCACCAGCUAUGGGAGGUGAGCUUUGCUGUUGGCUGCAUCCUCACUUCACGGAGGAACGGGUUUGGGAAAAUGGCAGUAGGAGGGAGCAAAAAGGAGAGGAAGUGAGAAUCCUAAGAAUGUUUUAAGGUUUUUCAAUUUACCAUACUUUUUUAUGGUUUGGUUAUAUGAACAAAUAAAUUUCCCUUUUAGGGUUAAGUUCGUUCAAGAUUUGUUUCUUUCAUUUGCAACUCAGGAAUCCUGAAUAAUGUAGGACCUUUUGUUCUUGGUUUUCUACUUUCUAAAGCUUCUGUAAAGCAAAUUGAAGACCAGAAACAAUUAGUCUCAGAACCCAAUGUGUCCAUGAUUGUUUGGGGGAAGAAUCAGUAGAAAAAGAAGGUGGGAAAUGACCCACUUGAGAAAUCACAAAGGUUCUUAUAUGCAGACUCUAGUAGGUAAAUCAUAGGGUCCUUUGCUCUUUUCUGGACCUCAAACAGAUUAAAAGAAAUCAUGGUUCAAAUUCACCUAGAUUCAGGCCAACAGUAGGAUAUGUUUCUAUUUUUUGGACCUGGUGUUCCUUUGCAGUAGGUGUAAAUCAGAGAGAGACACGUGACUCUAACAACAAAAUAGCGAUUGGAUAUCUUCUAUGUGUAAGCCUGUGCUAGUUUCAACUUGUCAUUCCAAAGCAACAAGUAGAAAUUUCAUUUGUGCUGACAGACGCUAAGCUUUAGGUGUGUCUGGUGUAAGCACACCCAGGUGUGACUGGCAAGCAGAAAAGUCAAAGGACAAUUACUCAUGAAGGUUGCUGAGGAAGGAACAAGAACGAGUGGGCCCACAUGUAAGCUAGAAGUUCAGUUAAAACAUAUGGAAAAUGUUUUCUUGAUAUUCAUUUAAAGCCUGGAACCAUCAACACAAAGAGGUCAUGGCGUUGCCCUCAGAGGAGGCUGUUGAGAACAAUUUAGAUUGCUGAUGGCUGCUUUACCAAGCCUGAUUAUAGGUCCCUAUGACUCGGUCCCACACAUCUGCUUUUCAGUAACACUGUGGGGGAGGCGAGUUGUCCCCUCGGACCUUUAAACAUAAUUUGUCUAUGGGUUUUGCCUUUUUUCCUGGCAGUUAGUUUUUGUGUUUGUUUUGUGAAGAAAGGACUUAGUAUAUUUCUUUUCUCUCUCCCUCUCUCUUUCUUUUUUGCAAUAAGCAGUUGGACAAAAUGUACACAAUCUCGCCCGAACUUUUAAAUGCUCCCACAUUUGGAUACAGUGUUUAUCUGUAUAGUUUUUAGCAGGUCAGGAUGGAUUUGACAGGUCAGAAGAUGGCUGAACUUUUGACUCUCCCCUUCAGCACACACACACUGUUGUGUGCACAUUGUUCUAUCUUCAAAAUGGGAAACCAGGAACCAUUCUUUAGCCCUAUCUUGUUCACAGAGCUUUUCCCCCUCUUGCAUACUGCGCCACCACCCAAAAGCUUGAAAACACCCCAGGAAACCCCCGCGUCAGUGUGAAAGGACUAAUCGUUACAUAUCACUUGGUUUUCCUUCCUGGACGUCAUGGGCCAUGGCCCUGUGAUUCUCACGUUGUUUCUGUCAUCGUCCCUGGGAGUUUAACUCUUGAUCCUGAGCCGGAGGAGGACAGCCUGUCUCAGCACGAACUCUUAUGUAAGUGGCUGUGGGGAGAGAGUUGGCAAUAAACAAACAUUUUUUUCCAACCCUUGUUUUCUCUGCAGCCUUGAAAAAUAUUUCUCUGGGGGUGCUACUGCGCUCUUGCAACAGAAGACCAAAUGCCCAGCUUUGAAAUGUCUUCCAUUGCAUUUCUAGAUUCUAAAAUCAGAAUGAAGUGAACCAAAAUGUUCAAAGUUAUUGAAUUACAGAGAGCUGAGACAUGGAGGUGCGUUUCUCUACAAAGAACUUUGCAGCAGCAUUUCAGAAGGCUGGUCCCCACAUCCACGCUGUUGGGGAACAGUCGAAAAAUUACAUGAUGGGCGAUGCUGGUUCUCAGAUGGGAGAACCAGAAGGCAAUAGGAACGAACCUGGGAACAGAGAAAUAAUUUCAUGACUACCGGUGUGGAAGUCAGACUCACUAUAGGAACAAAAUACAUCCACACAUAUGAGCACAAUGGGACCAUACAUUUCUGGAACCCAUGUUUUCCUUGAGCUACUCCACCUUAGAAAUUUGAAAGGGGGAAUAAUUUGUAACAUCAGCCUUGAAACACUCUACCUCCAUUCCCAUGAUUGAAUUUAGUGGAACUCCAGCCACAGUUCCUCCUCUGAG
ensembl:lncRNA